CGAAACCAUAUCCGUUUUAGAAGGUUCCCAUACAAAAUCAUUGUUGUCCUUAAUGAUGUGCAUGAAUUUAUGUAUUUAUUUCAUAUUAGUGGGAGAGAAACAAUCAAACAAACGUGUGGCUCUUAUAAUCAUAUUUUGGAAACGUUGUCCUUCUUCUUAUAUGGCGCGGGGUUUGAACAUCCAAUCAAAGUUGAGCAACCCAAACUUUUUACAAAUGUGGAUUCUAUGACUAGCGAGAAUAAUGUUUUAUUGUUAUUGUGCAGCUAAUAAUUUCACGAUGUUGUGAGUCUCUAUGAACGUUGUAAUCUUCUGGUCCGUCGUUAGAAGGCAACAGCACCAAGGAUACUAACGUAGUAGUAGUAGCAGUGGUAGCAGUAGUAGUAGUAGUCAUACCAACAGUGUUUUACUUGAAAUUCAAACCUAUCUCAUUGACAAAUCAUUGUCAGGUAAUGUAGUUCGAAAUAUUGUUAACUGUAUGUAUUGUCUAAGAUAACUGCCCAGAGAAAGUACAGUUGUUGAGCCAAAACGACUCGCCAUCUGCCCUACCGUUACAGCAGCGAUACUGUGGAAUGAGGUGAACGGUUGGGUCAAACCUGACCUGCAAUGGAUAGAGAAUGUCCUCAUGGAAGCUCCUCGACCACUCCACCUCGGUUAUAUGACCCCUCUUUUGAGCUUUGGCAAAGCACGCCUGUAAAAAAGGAUAAUGUUGGAGUAUUUCCUGCUGAUAUCAGUAAAGUUUCCAUCCGAUCUAGCAAUGAAGUGGAUGGGAGGGUCAGACCUUACCCUGUAGACAAUGAUUGUCGUACCCAGCUACAGCACAAUCAAGUAAGGGAUCAAUUCAGUUAGAAAAUAUCUCUCUUUAAUAUAUAUUAGUGAUAGUGUUAAACAGUAACUAAAUCAUCAUCACCAUUUUGAGUUUGAAUAAAGUGUAUAUUUGACCACAUUUAGAAUAUGGGAUAAUUAUUUUAACUAUUUAGCUACCAAGCAUAUGCGUAAAGUGAUUCCAGUGACUUUUUCUCUUGUUUCCCUCCGACUGUGCC